CGGGAGACAGACAAUGAGCAAGAAAUCACUCCAGUGACGCUCGAGAGGAUUUCCUGGGAAACGGGGGUGGCGAUAACAGAACUGCGUGAGGACCAGACGGACGAGUCCUCCCAGUGCUCGGCCUGGGGCUGGUGCGGCGGAAUCAGAGCAGCUGGAUACAGUCAGCAGACGUCCGCGGAGGACGAGGACACCCUGAAAUCCUGAAUGCUCGUGGAGUUUGCAGACAGGACCUCAGAGCUGGUGGAGGAAGACCCAGGCCAGUCACAGGAUUCACGGGGGCCCCGAGAGAAGCCGCUGAGCCACCACAGCCCCAGUCUAACGCCCUCUGCCGAGAAGGAGGUGUGGUUCUGUGUUCCGCUUACACAGCACUUUUUGGGGGCUCGUCCCCGUUGCCGUGGCCUCUCCACCUCACAGGCUCCAGGGACUGCCACCGGCCAGGAGUCUUGCUUCGUCAACCUUUUCCUUCAUUGUGAACUUGUAUGCUCCUGUCCUGCUGGAUUCCUCGUUCCGAGCCUCCCGGCAUAAGAGUCUCGGCCAACCCUUGAAAGGUGCUCUUUCUCUGUGGCCCUCAGCUUAGCGAGUAAGCCCCUCCAGCAGGACCAUCACACCCCUGCUGCACAGAGACCCAGCAGCGGAGGGAGGCAGCAGCAGUGCUGCCCUGGUCCCGUCCACAAACCCUGGGAGAGGUAAGAAAGCCCCGCAAACUGCACAUGGAUCCUACAACAGCAGCCUCGAAACCACCUGUGAUUAAACCAAGAU